AUCUCCUCCAAGAGUUCACAUCGACGAGGAGGUUUGGCACCUCGAUGUCGGCUCAUCGCAUCCUGGGGCUGGAGCAGGUCCCAAGGGUUUGGCUGUUCGCCAAUUAAAGCGGUACGCGAGCUGGGUUCAAAACGUCGUGAGACAGUUUGGUCCCUAUCUUCCGUGGGCGUAGGAGGCUUGAGAGGAUCUGACCUUAGUACGAGAGGACCGGGUUGGACGCACCUCUGGUGUACCAGUUGUCACGCCAGUGGCAUCGCUGGGUAGCCAUGUGCGGAUUGGAUAACCGCUGAAAGCAUCUAAGCGGGAAACCGACCUCAAGAUUUGGCCUCCCGGGGGCAACCCCCUGAAGACCCGAUGGAGACUACGUCGUUGAUAGGCCGGAUGUGUAAGCGCGGUAACGCGUUCAGCUAACCGGUACUAAUCGGUCGUGAGGCUUACAUUA
rnacentral:rRNA from 1 species